GCCGAGAGUCGUGGCGGGCUCCUGUAAAUCAGCUUCUAGAUGGCUUAGGAUGGGGAAGGUUUGCCUAUCAGAUAAACAUCUGAUAUCUGGUGUCGUUGACCGAGCGUCCAAACCAAGCGUAGCGUCGACAGGCCAUUGAUCUAGAAGUUCAUUAAUGACCGGUCGUAGUCAGACUACUGACUUCUAAAGAGAGAUGGAUGGCUCAGGUCCGUAAGGAAGCAGGCAAAAGUCUCCGCGCUAUGACAGUGGUUGGAUAGCGCACGCGAGUCAUUGGGUUUCAGGUGCUGUUAAUAUAUAUCCUCACUCAUUCUUUU
rnacentral:SRP_RNA from 1 species